AUUGAACGCUGGCGGCAUGCCUUACACAUGCAAGUCGAACGGUAACGCGGGGCAACCUGGCGACGAGUGGCGAACGGGUGAGUAAUGCAUCGGAACGUGCCUGGUAGUGGGGGAUAACUGCUCGAAAGAGCAGCUAAUACCGCAUACGACCUGAGGGUGAAAGGGGGGGAUCGCAAGACCUCUCGCUAUCAGAGCGGCCGAUGUCGGAUUAGCUAGUUGGUGGGGUAAAGGCCCACCAAGGCGACGAUCCGUAGCUGGUCUGAGAGGACGACCAGCCACACUCGGACUGAGACACGGCCCAGACUCCUACGGGAGGCAGCAGUGGGGAAUUUUGGACAAUGGACGCAAGUCUGAUCCAGCCAUGCCGCGUGCGGGAAGAAGGCCUUCGGGUUGUAAACCGCUUUUGUCAGGGAAGAAAUCUUCUGGGUUAAUACCUCGGGAGGAUGACGGUACCUGAAGAAUAAGCACCGGCUAACUACGUGCCAGCCGCCGCAGUAA
rnacentral:rRNA from 1 species